UCUCCCGCCCGUAGGUGCCCGGAGGUUGGCCGGGCGUGAUGGCCAGGCCCCCGCAGCCCCGGCGUGGCCCCACGACGCCCGGUGGCGCCUUGCGCGCCCUGCUGCGCUGCAACCUGCCCCCGGGCGCCCAGCGCGUGGUGGUCUCCGCUGUGCUGGCGCUGCUGGUCCUCAUCAAUGCCGUGCUGAUAUUCCUACUGGCCUUCCGCUGAGCUGUGCGCACCCGGCACCGCGGGGGACCACGCAGGCUCAUCAGUGAUGGCAGUGCGGUGUGUGCUGAAGCCCUGUGGGACCAUGUCACCAUGGAUGACCAGGAGCUGGGUUUCAAAGCUGGGGAUGUCAUCGA
rnacentral:lncRNA from 1 species